GAUGAAGAACGUAGCGAAAUGCGAUAAGUAAUGCGAAUUGCAGAAUUCAGUGAGUCAUCGAAUCUUUGAACGCACAUUGCGCCCUGUGGUAUUCCGCAGGGCAUGCCUGUUCGAGCGUCAUUUCAACCCUCAAGCUCUGCUUGGUGUUGAGCCCUGCCCGCUGCGGCCGGCCCUAAAGACAGUGGCGGUGCCGCCUGGCCCUGAGCGUAGUACAUCUCUCGCUCCAGUGCCCGGUGGUAGCCUGCCAGAACCCCAACUCUCGUGGUUGACCUCGGAUCAGGUAGGGAUACCCGCUGAACUUAAGCAUAUCAAUAAGCGGAGGA
rnacentral:misc_RNA from 1 species